rnacentral:sRNA from 1 species
CAACCCACUCUCUGUGCUAUGACUUCAUUACUCUUUCCCAGCCCAGCCCUGGGCAAGCCCCUUACGAAGUCUCAGGCUACCUGGAUGACCACCCUUUCUUAUGAUGCUGCAAGGAGGGCAGGUGGGCAGAGCCCCGUGCAUCCUGGGCUCAGGCCAGGGACCCAAGAGCUUGGGAGAAGCUGGUUCUCAGACUGAAGGCCAGAGCCCAGCACCUUGUCACCAUCCCGGGGAGCAUCAUGGCACACAACAACCAGAGCCAAGAUUGACAGGCCUCGGAAGUCAAAAUAAGUGGUUUCCUAGACCGGGUCGAGAGCAAGUCUCUAUUGGUCCCAACUGAGUUUUUUCAGCUGGUUUUUCAACCAAACAGCACCUCAUCUCCCAGUGAGGGGAAGGGAAGGCUGGGCUGAGAGCAGCAAGGCUGCUCAUCUCACCUCUCCCCACCCAGCCAUGCCAGCCGCCUCACCUGGUGGGGAGAGGUGGGCCUCACCUGGGUCCCCUGGCAGUGCUCUGUGAAGGGUCUUGACAUUGCACUGUAAUAAUAAAGGUGUGUGUGAAGUAUC